UCCCUGCCAGCAGCCAGAGAGGCAGGAGCUCCCUAUGUGGCAAUGUGAGGAGAAGCCUAACUGCAGCACUCAAGCUUCAACUGUGUCCUGCUGAGCUACUUAACUUGAGUUUAAAGUACUACUUUGGAGCAAAGAAUUUGUGAAUGGCUCUGAGUCAACAUAGGAACAAAGCUCCAGCUAGAGCUUAAAUUAACAAUGAAAGAAAAAUAAGCAAACCCUUCAAAAAGACUUAUCAUACAAUGUAGGACAGCAGUCACCCACAAAACCAAAGCUGUCUGCAAAAAAAGACCACUGCCUCCUAAGAGGGAAAGCAGAAUAGGGGCAGCCUGAGAGGGACAGAAGUGUAUGGAAGAUGAACAUCAGCUCCCUGGAUGAAGAAAGGAUACAGUGAGAGCUCAGACAGAGCUACACAGACUGGAAGACCCUCAGAUCAUCAUACAGAAACCAUCAUGGAGUGGUGCACCCAACUGCUGGAGGGCCACCUGGGUGUAGGGAUGUACUGGGGCCUCAAUACCCUUUUGUACAAGAAAGGCCCAAGGGAAGAGUUGAAGAACUGGAUGCCCAUAACCCUCUCAGACUUUGACUACUAACUGCUGGCUACAGUAUUGGCUGUGUGCCUUAACUCUGUUAUAGGGAUGGUGAUCCAUGAAGACCAGACAUGCACAG